CUUCUUGCUUGCUAUUUGCUGUUGCUGUAGGUGCCCGUAUGCUGCGGUUCUAAGUUCCGGUUCUUCACACCCUGUUUACAUACCUGACAAUUUGUGGCUGUCUUAAAGCAAACUCGCUGAUGUAAUGCAGGUGCUAUUAUCCGAAUUGUGGAUCCAAGAUCCGCAGCUGGCUGCCCCAUUGGCACCCAUGCAAGGCAGAUCACUUGGCAUAGCAUUCUUGCUCAGCACCACAAAUUCCAUGAAUAAAAAAUGUAGCAAGAUUUUUGGCAGCAGGAAUGGAACAAUUUCUAUCUUCACACUGGACAAGCCAGAUCUGUUAUGACUCAGUGCCCCUGGAACAACUGGAGAAGGUUAUCUGAUAUAUUACAUUGCACUAGAAUAGAUUAAAGAUCUUAUUAUAUAUCUUGAAAAAAGCCAAGGGCUUCAAAGAAAGUUGUAUUCCCUUCCUCCACGCUCCCAUAGCAAUAAAUUUUUUUAACUUUAAUUUCUUAUUUAUAUUCUGUUUAUAAACGUGCAUAACCUUACAUUUUCUUACUAAUAUCUCAUUUACUCUAGUGCAUACUCCUGGUGAUAUCUUUUCAUGUUUCCACUUUUAAAAAAGUUAAACAUCAUAAUAUCAGAUUUCACUAUUAAGGAAGGAUUAACUCUGAAGUUGAAGAUUACAGUCACCUUCCUGUUUACUCCUAUAAUUACUACCUCGCUAAAGUGUCAUCUUGCUUUUAGUUUCAACACUUCUUCCAAUGAAGUACACAUUGUUGUCAUUUGGCAAGUUGCUUUCCUGCCCUUGGCAUUAAAUACAAUACUCCUUUCAUAGUGUGUGACAUCUACAUUUGCAUCUGUCAGCCUGACAUCCGUUUAUUCACAUCUCCAAGUGUUAUACAUAGAAGGGAAGCCGCACUCAUAUCUAGCAUGUUUUUCUUGCUGCCUUGUCAAUAGUUGUUCUCACCAAUAACUGUCAACCCUGACUUUGAUGUGUUGUGGGUUCUCUUCUGGGAGAUAGCUCUAACUUCAUUCAAUCUUUGAGCAUACAAUUGUUUGAAAUAACUGCCUUGAUAGUUUCCUUAGCUGAGAAAGUAUCUAUAUGUCUUUCAGGCUUUUGUUUUACAGUUCUUUCAAUAAUGCAAGAUUUCAGGUCUAAAUGAGAACCUAGAGGUAAUACUGAUACAUAUAAAUAAUAUGAUGGCUAAAGUAAAUCUAGCCUUACACAAAACAUUAUAUUUUCUCUUUUUAAAGUUAACCACAAAGUUACCUUAGCAGACAUUUAAGUAUUUGGUGAUCCUCACAGUUUAUUUAUUCUGUUAAUGCAAGUUGACUAGACAGCUCACUUAACAAGCUUACCCUUGUACAUCAAAUUUAUGUUUUACCUAAGCAAGAGUAUCAUUCCCCUUAAGUUUUCCCCUAAAAAAAGCCCCUGAUCCACUGCAUUGCAACUGAGACAUCAUGUUACCUUUCUAUUCAGACUGAACAGACCAUUUAGGAAGACCUCUUCCCUUUUUGCCUUCAUGGCAGACAGGUUUCUAGGUAUAGCUCUACUGAAAAUUUAUCACACUGGUUAGCAGGUGGUACAACAGGAGUGCUAAAAUCAAACCAAUUUGUGAUUUAUGCAACUUCUAUCAGAACUCGAGCAAACAUUAUCAUCUCUAGGGAAUGAGAGAGAUGAAAGACAGCCACCUUAAGCUUCAUCCAUGCUUCUACCAAGUACUGUGUCACUGAAAAUAAGUGGUUUGGUUCUUGAGAGCCAUCCUAGACCAGAAGUUCCUCAUUCAGGUUAAGGAGUACUGCCUGAAGUCUCCAGCAGAGUAAAUGUGCAUACAGUGCAAAAAGUGCAUACAAAUACCUGAAGGAAAAAAAAUGGCAAUUUAUCUGUAAAUCAGAAGACCUUCAGGUAUAUUUUUUGUCUAUAUACAGAUUCACACUUACUCAAUCUUUCCCUUGCUCAUUAAGUUCCAUAAGAAAUGGUGGAUGGGCCUAUGGCUGGGCUUACCCAGGGUUUACCAUGCCUGACAAGAAAAAGAAUGAGCAUGUCCCUGUAGGAAGAGAUAAGGCAUAACCAUACUUGAGCAUAAGCACAUUCAUAAUGUGAAUAUGUAUACAGACAACAUAUCUACAACACCUUUUAACUUCUGAUGAUUUUACUUUCCUGUAGAGAA